rnacentral:misc_RNA from 1 species
AAGGACAUCAAAAUUCUCAUCACUGAAUUUAAAAUUAUUGGGAUAAAAUGAGACAAAUCCAAUGUUCUAUAUUAAUUCUUUACACAUUUCCAAAACCAACGUUCUCAUAGAUGUAACUAAUGUAAUUCGUAAUUUAUUAAUUUUAACAAUACAAAAGAAAAGAUAUAAAUAAAAAUUCUUUUGCAAGAUUUCAUGAAAAUAUAUACUUUGAACGUAAAUAUCAAAAUUAAGAAAAGCUAUGUUUAAUCAUUAUGUCUAUCAACAUUUACUCAAACGUAUUGUUUGGUUCAAUUGUUGAUAAGAGUUUGAAUCCCUCAAAAGGGAAGUGCUUCUUGCACAAAUAAUAAAGUUCUUAACAUUGUGGUCAAAUUGGAGGAAGGAAAAUAAUAAGAGGAAAAUAAAAAAGAUAAUGAUGAUGGGAGGAAAAUAUAUUUUCCUUCUCAUGUUUAGAUAGACGAAGGAAAAUAUUAGAGGGAAAAUUAUUUUAUGAAUAG